AUGUUAUUCCCUCCGUUUCAUAAUUCUUGUCUCAAAUUUGUCCAAAAAUGGAUGUAUCUAUUCCUAAAAAGAGUCUAGAUACAUGUAAUAUUUCGACAAGAAUUAUGGAACGGUGGAAGUAUGAU
rnacentral:pre_miRNA from 1 species